rnacentral:rRNA from 1 species
UCUAUUAGAUUAAAACCAAUCGGGUUUCGGCCCGUCAAUUGGUGACUCUGAAUAACUAUAGCUGAUCGCAUGGUCUCGAACCGGCGACGUGUCUAUCAAGUGUCUGCCUUAUCAACUGUCGAUGGUAGUUUAUGUGCCUACCAUGGUUGUAACGGGUAACGGAGAAUAAGGGUUCGACUCCGGAGAGGGAGCCUGAGAAACGGCUACCACAUCCAAGGAAGGCAGCAGGCGCGCAAAUUACCCACUCUCGGCAUGAGGAGGUAGUGACGAAAAAUAACGAGACCGUUCUCUAUGAGGCCGGUUAUCGGAAUGGGUACAAUUUAAACCCGUUAACGAGGAUCUAUGAGAGGGCAAGUCUGGUGCCAGCAGCCGCGGUAAUUCCAGCUCUCAAAGUGUAUAUCGUCAUUGCUGCGGUUAAAAAGCUCGUAGUUGGAUCUGCGCCUCAGGACUUGGUCCGCCCACUGGGCGAGAACUGGGCUCCUGGGCUAGUUCUGCUGGUUUUCCCUACGUUGCCUUCAUCGGUCGCGUAGGGUGGCUAGCGAGUUUACUUUGAAAAAAUUAGAGUGCUUCACGCGGGCUUAUGUCUGAAUACUCGUGCAUGGAAUAAUAGAAUAGGAUCUCGGUUCUAUUUUGUUGGUUUUCUGAUCUGAGAUAAUGGUUAAGAGGGACGGACGGGGGCAUUCGUAUCGCUGCGUGAGAGGUGAAAUUCUUGGACCGUAGCGAGACGUCCGACUGCGAAAGCAUUUGCCAAGAAUGUCUUCAUUAAUCAAGAACGAAAGUCAGAGGUUCGA